rnacentral:lncRNA from 1 species
CAUAGACCAAAAUAAACAAACAAAUGUUUAUUUUAUCCAUACCCCAAUGAACAACAACAAUCUUAACGCAAAUCAACCUACUUCUGUAAAAUCUCCAAUUUCCUCUGCCGAAUUUUCUCCAAGAUCGAAGAAAUUGGCUUCUGAACCAGAGGAGCGGGUUUAAAAGCUGCAUCUCUAGUUUCUUUUCAAAGCAUGGUGAACUAUUAG